ensembl:lncRNA
CUGAAAUACGCCAUCUUUUCUGUCUCUUUCCUGCACCCAGAGUCCUGUGUGGAUGUUACGCUCGAUUUAGAGCUGGAUUUACUUAAAAAACAAACCAUGAAAGAGGUAUUUUGAUACUAAAGCACCGCAGAAGUUACGGAAGUAGACGAGAAUCAUCAGACUUCUUUGAACCUCAUAUAAGUCAAUGUUCCGAUUUGGGAAGAAAUGGAAUGGACUACAAAUAUGGAUACUACUUUUUGUCUGAGAUGAACGGUAAUGAAGCAACAACUGGACAUGGUGGACAUCCUUUAUUCUUUCUAAUCACUUGGAAAGAGGAUAAAUCCUAUAAGAGAUUCAGCUCAACAUGCCAGGCUAUACCGGAGGAGGAGCUGUCCCAUCCCAUCCAGUGCGAGACCAACCCCCAUGGUUUAAAUGGAGUCAUCGCUGUUGAUGAUAAAAUUUAUCCUCUAACCUUCCUUAGAGAUCCGGCUCCAUCUGCUGAGGACUCGCCUGGUGCAGGUGGAGGAUCGGAGCAGCUAUCUAGUGUCCAGUGUGAUUCACUCCAUCACCAGAACGAUGCAGUGUUCGAACCUCAUGCAUACCCGGCGCCUGGUGGGAGAUGGAACACCCAGAUGACUGAUGUUCCCUUCAACCUGAGGGAAAUCACUCGUAGUGUGACUGCAGCAAGGUGCAUGCAGAGUCCAUGGAGGGAGAUAGUGUUCACUGUUGGGACUGCCCUGCUCUAUGUAUGUUGCAUGUGUAAAAUCAUGUAUUAAAAAUAAUAUUUUUUACAAUUUUGAAUGUGUUUUUUGUUUUUUUUUCUUUUUUGUUUUGUUUUUUUUAGCCUUUAUUUAACCAAGUCGGUCCCGUUGAGAUACAAUGACCUCUUUUUCAAGGGAAGCCUGGCCCAGACAGCAGCCAGAGAAAUAUUAAAAGUGCAACAAUUCAAAACAGACAACACUAACUCACUUAACAAAAUGAAUAGAAUGCAUGCUAGAUUAAAGCACAGGAUUAAGAAUUUACAUUAAAACAACAGCAAGUGUGAAAAGUAGCUGCUGCAAGAUCCUUCAUACGGUUUUUAAAAAUUCCAAUAGUGAUGAGAUCCUUCAGAUUCAGUGUCUUCUGCAGUGAGUUCCAGGCAGCAGGUGCAGAAUACUUAAAACGGUGUUUCCCUAAUUCAGAAUGUACCUUUGGCAAGUUUAACAAGUAUAAGUCAUUGGAACGUAAGCAGUAAUUGCUGUGGAUGCUGAAAAUGUAGUCACAUAAGUAACGUGGAAGUAGACCUAGGAUUGCUUGCAAUUGCAGCGAAUUUCGCUGGAUUUUGGUUGAUUUUUAUGUGAAUGUUCUUAAAGAAAUCAUUAGAAGUCUUACUGAUAUAUAUGGAAUCAGUUUAGAUAUUUUUAGGAGUUUUUUG